GAGGAAUAUUGGGCAAUGCCCGCAAGGGUGACCCAGCAACGCCGCGUGGAGGAUGAAUGUCGUAAGAUUGUAAACUCCUGUUAGAGGGGAAGAAUAGUACCGGUUGGACCGGUAUAUGACUGUACCCUCAGAGAAAGCCCCGGCUAACUACGUGCCAGCAGCCGCGGUAAUACGUAGGGGGCAAGCGUUGUCCGGAUUUACUGGGUGUAAAGGGCGCGCAGGCGGGAUAAAAAGUCAGUGGUGAAAUCCUACAGCUUAACUGUAGAACUGCCUUUGAUACUUUUACUCUUGAGUUCGGGAGAGAGAGACGGAAUUCCAGGUGUAGUGGUGAAAGACGUGGAUAUCUGGAAGAACACCAGUUGCGAAGGCGGUCUCUUGGUCCGACACUGACGCUGAGGCGCGAAAGCGUGGGGAGCAAACA
rnacentral:rRNA from 1 species